rnacentral:lncRNA from 1 species
UUUGCUUCCUUAACUCGGGGUCGGCGGGCACUACUAGUCGGUUUCCACAGUACACACCUCCCGUUUUGUCCUGACGGAAUUGCUUAUAUCCUUCAUCCUUUACUGAGAUCUUACUGAUGAUCCGUUUUAUUUCUUCAUCCUCAGCUUGUGCUGACCGAAUUCGGUCCUCCAAAACUGAGUCAAGGAUGAUGUGACCAAGGGUUCCAUGAGGAACAAUCUCCAAACUUAGUUUUUCCAUCUCGUG